UUGUCCACAUCAGGCCUAAGACAAUGGUUCAUGCUUGUACACCGUCACUUAGGCUAGGAUGCUGAGUGCUACACUGUGCUAGACCUUAGACAAAAGCUCUUUUCUGCGUGCAAUGUAUUGUAGCAACAGGCCUUGGCAACAGCUUAAGUCCAUAGUGAUGCUGCAAUGCCUGCAUGGUUUCUGUGAAAAACAGGAGUCAGAGCUGGCUGUUCUGCUUUCAAAAAGCAAGCACUUACUGCACCAUGGGCUGCAACACUUCCAGCAGGGUAACUGUUGAGGGAUCACCACCCAAGAAUCCACAUUAUGACAGAGAAGCUCAAAAUCAGACAUCAGAGGUGGUCUUCCCAAGAAACAUGUAAGCUUACUAGAAAAGAAAAGGCAAACAUCAUCAGAUAUCCUGGAGGAGCUUCGGAUGCAAGGCCUAAUCAAGAACCAAAGUACAACUUCUAAAAAUAGAACAGCAGAUGAUUCCAUGUUGGUCGAUGCUGAAAGGCCACUACAGAAGCCACCAAUCAAACUAGAAAAGCUUGAAAUCAAAAAGAAGAAAGGACAUAAAUUAACAAUAGAGGAGCCUGAAAACAAGACAGAUUUUCUUGAAAAUAGAAGAAAUUACAAUAUCUAAUCUGAACUCCUGCACUGUAAUAUCCAAAUACUUGAUAAUCUAGAAUGUAUGUAUCAACAUAUCAAUGCACAAGGGAUGCUUAUACAGUAUUCUUUCUUUCUCUCAUUUUUUAAAUGAACUUAAUGAAUGAGUCAACUCAUCUGUAAGUUUUAUUGAUUCAAAUGGGCUUAUUCUAACUGCAAUUUAUUUUAAUAUACUGUAGUAUGUCACAGUUAGAGUCAAUGAUUUAUUGAAUCAAUGAAACUUAUGGAGGAGGUGACUCACCUAAUCCCCAUUGAUUCAGUGGGCCUAUGCUAGCACAAUUUGCUAUGCAAAGGAACACGUUUUGGGCUACUGACUGUCCUUUUUCCUGUGAGCAUAGGUGCACACAGUGGAUACAAAUACUGUAGUACCUUUGCACGCAACAUAUACCCUCAAAAGAGAAAAUACCAAAUUAUACAUAUAUAUAGUGCCUGUGCGCCUACAGCUUGCUUGGACACACACUCUGGGCUAGUGGUUCCCAACCUUGGGUAACCCAGGUGUUCUUGGAUUGCAACUCCCAGAAACCCUGGGGUGGAGACUUCUGGGAAUUGCAGUCCAAGAACAAUUGGGCUACCCAAGGUUAGGAACCGCUAUUCUAGGCUAACCUUUCCCAAACUAGAAAGCCUCCAGAAACAUUUGAUUACUUCUGGAUGGUAAAGGAUUGGUGAAGACUGCUCCCCUAUAUGGAGGUCAGGACAUGCUCUACCAUUGCAAUCCUAAACUCUACCAUCCAGACUAUGAUUAUGUUCAUAUCACUAAUUUCUUCUUGGGGCUAUUUUAUGUAAGUACAUGGAUCAAAAUAUGUUUCAUAUUUGCUAUACCUUGUCUCUUUUCAGUCAAAGGAAAGACUACUGAAAAAAGAAUUGCUGGCUGACAGACCUUCACUAAUAAAUCCCUAUGAAGGCAAGACUUCA
ensembl:lncRNA stathmin domain containing 1